rnacentral:lncRNA from 1 species
CAGAACUGCAGAUAGUACAGCUUUCACAGAAGCGAUGGGAUGUCUGAGCACAAGUGGCUGACUUGGGAGUGACUUUAUGAAGGACUUUUCUGCCUUCCUUAGGCAUAAAACAACUGGAAUUCUGCACCUGCAUCAGAAAAGAACCAGACUGAUUCUGCCACUCAGUAGCAAGAAAUUCACACAGCUAAACGGUUUGAAAUUGAAUCAUAAAUUUGCCAACCAGCAAACAAGAAUGACUGAAGUCACUUUGACCCUUGCCUGUUACACUGAAGCUGCCGAAAUGUGAGAUUUCCAAGGUUCGGCAUAGAAAUGCAUCUACUGUGCUGAAAAUUUGAAAAUGACUCAGGUUUAUCCACUAUAUCAUCUACCUGUCUUCAUAAGAAUAUCAUCAUGAAGAAUUGGAAAAAAAUUGUUUCUACUCCAUCAGUGAUGGUGAACCUUUUAGAGACCUUAGAGACUGAGUGCCCAAACUGCAACCCUCAUGUGGCAUGUGAGUCCCCCAGAUUCUUACCUCAGAUAAAGGAGGGAAAAAGCACCACUAUUGGGCUGCUGAGCAGAAAGGCAGGUCAUGGGAGAAAUGUCCUUAGGCACAUGUGGAGAGGAAGAAGGGAGCAGAACCCUCAAGCAUGCUCUGCUAAGUGUGCAUUCUCCAACAUAGCCCUAGAUUCUGCUAAAAUUUCUAAAUAUUAG